UUUGAAUUAUUUUCAACCAUUUGAUUGACCACAUAUGGUUAAGAUCUGCAACACAAAGAUGUGAUCCCCCGUGCAUGUCCCUCCCUUUCAGUUCUCUUUCCUCGACCUAGGGAAACGGAAGUGGAAGCGAACCUCCUCAAUUGAAAUGUGUUUUAUACUACUAAAUCCCUUUGUAUCAUAAGUUGGCCGCCCUAUCAUCCCAUUCCCCAUCUUUAUCCCAAUCGUCACAAACCCACGGACACAACAGAACUCAGCCUCCACUAGGUUUUGAAGCCGCCAUCGGGGGUAAAACCAAUGGAUAGCAGCGAUAGCUGGGCAUGGUCUGGAUCCCAAGACGAUCGACGUGGAAGACGGGUGGAAUUUCAAGCAGAUGGAUAUCAAGCUACACGUUAGUCACCUCCUUCCCUGCCUCCUUUCAGCCAUCCAUAGGCUAGGCCCAAUUCGAGUUGAUCUGGUUCUGGUUAGUGUUUCCACCUCAUGUUUGUCUCAUUUUUUCGUGCAAUACAAAUCAAGAGCCCUCGCCAUGGCUCCUGAUAUCCUAUUGUGUGUACAACUUACUCCCUUAUCCAAUGCUCACUCUUCUAGACUAAUGAUAUGCUUAUUAAUCCCCAAUCAGUGGUCUAUUGCGUCAUACCUAUCCAAUUUUUUCAUGUGCCAAAUUCGAGGUAUUUGGGUUUGAUUUUAUUAAGUGGUUGGUAUUCCAUCUGCAAUUAAUUCGCUACAUCAAGGAAGAACACUGCUUUUUUUUGUUGCAACAAACUAUAAGUUGCCCGAUCCAAUUAUGUUAAUCUUCCUCGGCAUAUCUUAAUCUUCCAUAUCUUUUUUCUCAGCCAGGUUUGAUGAAAAUUCACUCUUCCCCAUGUGUUGUUUGCUCACAGGCGAGUGCUACAAAUUCAGCCAAAAUUACCAUGUACGUUCCCCACAUUGUAUGUCGUGUGUGCAUUGUUUUUCUUAUGAUAUGAAUGCUUAUGAUGUAAUUGUGUUGUUAAUAGAUAUACACCACCAACGGGCAUGAAAAGGUCACAUAUGUGCUACUACAUUCUUGAAUAAUUUAAUAGGGGUUUUCCUAAGUUAUGAUUUCAAGCAAUGCAAUAUUUAGUUUUCUCAUUCAACAAUUUACGUUCCCCAUAAAUAAGUACUGCUAUAUUUGAUGGGUAAGAAUAGAUGCAGUCUAGCAUCCAAUAGAUGUGACCACAUUUUCACUUUUGCCAAAUGUCUUUGGAAUUUUAGUCACUUGUCGUAAUUAACCAUUUGUGUUCUUCAUGCAGGGCUAUCUCCCUCAGUAUGUUCAACUUAUGUAACCGAGAAGUUAACAUUAUUCUUUGGAAAUGAAAAUUGUGAAGCCUCUCAUAUACUUAUGAAGGAAAAAACAUCGAUGUACAUGAUUCUUAGUUUUCAACAAUUGUCGUUGACCACAACUAUAUUGAUGGUCGUCUCAAGAUCUCACCAAUGGAGGAGCAUCAGUUUUCUGUCCCACUAAUCACCUAUGCCUUAAGAAUCCUAGUUCUUGAGUAUAUUAUCCUCGACAUUCAACUUAUAGUUCUACUUUCUUUGAUGAUUACACUUUGCCACUGUAUACUACAGUUUAUACUAUCCUAUGUUUUGAAUUAACAUCGAUGAAAUGAAAAUAACUAUAUCAUACUAAUACUUAGCCACCACUU
rnacentral:lncRNA from 1 species